GGGAGACGGCGCCGGGCGGACGUGGACGGAGGAGUAAAUGCGAGGAUUUGGGGGCGGAUGGUACUGUCGUCUCCUAGCUGAGGUUGCUGGAUUUUUCAAUAGCGAGAGGGGUGAGCUUGCGGGGCGGCGAAUCUAGGAGGGCCGCAUCCACUGGUGGGCAUGGAGAUCCUAUGCAGCCAAAGAUCCAUGGUGCUUGAGAAGGUUACUGACAGUUACGCCCAAAUGGAGCGUCUCGCGCCUAGAGCUUUCACGGGCAGAUUUGUGUGCGGGCGGCCAGAGGUGGGAGAUGACAGGAGGGUUCAUUGCAGGCUUCCAAACAAUUGAUAGGCAAGAUGGACCUUAGAGCUCCAGGAUGGAGCUGCAGGGAAAGGUUGGGGUGCAGAACACAAGGUCUUGCCAUUGUGAGUGCCCUGCUCUAACAAGGAUGGUGCUAUCCAAAGACAAUGGUUGGUACAUAGCAGAGCAUCGCUACCAGUACAAUCACCCGAUGUCCCCUGAUUUUGGACAGACAAUGCACUGGCCAUUGCACAAGCGCAUACUCCCUCCGUUACUAAAUAUAAGACCUUUUAGAGAUUCCUAUACGGACAACAUGUUCAAUGUAGAGAGAACCAAGUGUAUGCAGACCAUAUGUCCAGCAAUACGGAUGUUUGUUUUUGGCUUUGCUGAUGCGAACGUGAAUCACUAUGAUAUGAAGUUUGGUCUAUUUGUGAGAGGGAGCAAUCAUUUUCAGAGCAUGAUCCUUGCCGGUUGUCCGGGAUAAGAGGGUGGGGAGCUUUGAGUGGUUGUUACCCAAGUUCAUCCGCAUGAUGGGUGGUGUCCCACCUAGGACGAUUCUUAUAAUUGUUGUUAACAAUCCCUGAGAAUUAUGUGCCCCCUUUUUUUGCUGAACUUGACAUCCUUCUGUGCUAAUCAAUCAGAAUGAGCAAUGGAGGUUGCCAUUAAGAGUGUAAUUUGAAUAUUUGAUCAAUUGGUAAGCUAGUCUGCGAUGAUAAUUCUCUAAGUUGGCUAACCAGUCAAAUUGUUUUCCUGAAUGUCUUUAUCUUGCCAGCACUGAGUAUACUCUUCUUUUCUCACUGGGCUUAGUGGCCUGUUGUUUUGUCUUCUUUUUUUCGUCACUCAGCUAUAAAAAUUAUACUCAAGCAUUCUCUGUUGUUGGAAGCUAACAUGAUGUAGCAUAGUGGUUUU